rnacentral:lncRNA from 1 species
AGAGACCCGGAAAGCUCCGCAGACCGCCGUGGGUGCGACUGUGCGGCCUGGGGAGUGAGCCUCGCGCCACCGCCGCUGCAGGCCGGGGAGCCCAGGUGGGCGGCGGCUGGGGAGGGAGGGAUCCAGGCGGGGGAGGUGACAAACACCGGUGGGGAGAGUGCUCAAACCCGCGUACUCCCUUCCCUCCCUCUUCUCUUCCCCAGCCGGGGGCACCCUCAUCCCAGGCUGACUGACGUCCCUGGCACCCAAAUGUCGCGGGGAGUGCGGGGCCAGGGUGCGCCCUCCCUCCUCCUCCAGCCAGUGAAACCCGGGACAGCGGCACCCAGCCCCAGGGCGGAGGCCGUCUCUGCUGCGCGCAGCGACGCACCCAGGCCCAAGGGCCGGGAGAUCCGCGGGGAACCCGGAGACCUGCGUCCCAGAGGGGCCGAGGGUUGCACCGCGCCCGCUCCCACGGGCCUCUUCCGAGAGGACGCUUCUCCCUCGUGUCCGCGGGAAGUCCUCGGAUCCUGGAUGAGAAAGAGCCUUCUCUCACCGGCUCCCAGACCCCGCGCUUUUUAAUACCUGUCCUUGCAGAGCGACUGGUCAUUUUAGGCCCGAGUCGAGCCUCUCUUGAUUAAUAAAUGAAUAUGGCUCGUUUUGUUUUAAGUGUGCGUGGAUGUAUACGUUGUAUUGUUUUGCAAUUCAACACCGCAAAGAUCUGGGAAAAGUUCUUCACCUGCAUUAAGGAAAGCAAUUACAAACUCGUAGUCCAAACCAGAAGAGCCAGAAAAUCAAGUAGAAGGCUCAGGGUAGGAUGAAACCAAAGGGAACAGGAAUCGUUUCUUCCUUUUAAUAAGAUGUCAGGUUAUUGGACUCACUUGAUGAGAGGCAGCAAAAUGAAUCGAACACAGCCUGGGUUCAAAGCCUGACCCCGCCAUCUAAUGAUGUGACCUUCUGCAAAUUCUUAGUCGCUCUAUGCCUCAAUUCUUUAAUCUACAAAAUGGGAAUAAGGACGCAGCUACCGAACAGCUUCUACUCUCCUGCUGUGAGGAUUAAAUGAGUCAGCAGUUCCGAACUGCUUCAAUCGGCCUGGCUCAAGGGAAGCUCCACGGAAGAGUCAGCUAGGAUUAUUAUAAAUUGGUUAUAACAAAGAAGCGAACACAUUCCGUUGCUAGCGCACAGAUUAAGACUCAAUAAUGCCACAUACCAACUGCCACUGCUCUGACAAAUAUUUCUGUCAUUUCAAAAAAAUAUCAUGGCUGCAGCUUUUCAUGACAAAAGAAAACCAUUGGUUUCUGGGCCUCUUA